GUGCACUGAACUUCUGUUUUUUUACAGGCUUGAACUGGUUUCUGAUCACUUAUAUGGGUUUUGUGUAACUUUUGCCCCUAGCCUCAAAGACCAAUAAAUCAACACAAAUAUUUUCAGUUCCAGCAUCCAAUUUUGUCACUGCUAAAACUUAGGCCCUUUUCCCUAACAGCCACCCUACAUCAUAGAUACUGGUAUGGUUCUUUGUCUGGGAGCAAUCUCUUAUCUGGUCUGCUCUGAUCAGCAGACAACCCCAAUUAUGGCUCAUCUCAACCUUCUGAGGAGUUAGUCUCUACUGAUCCCUUGACCCACAGCUUAGACUAGUGUUUCCCAAUCUUUUCCAGCUGAAGGCACACUUACAUUAAUAAAAAUUUUUUGCGAUACACCUGUUAAGGCAUUCCCCAUUCUCAUACCUUUUGUAGCUCAAUGCUAUGGCAAAAUUCUGUAGCACACCUGUUCAUUUCUGAACAUACUUUUGUGCUGUGGCACACUGGUUGGGAAACACUGGCUUAGACCGCCAACUCCCAGCACUAGAAGGUGCCAGUAAGCAAACUAUUCUGCUGCUCUCCUGCUGCUAAGGCUGUUCUAGCUUUCCUCCUACAUUGUGUCCCCUGGGAGAACUGCAGGAACUUUCCAGUAGAACUGCCUAUGUACUUUCCUGAACUGGAAAGUCAAGGCUGAAGAAGGCUGAAGCUAAAGAGAACAGAAGGUUGUAUCUGCUGCAGUAAUUUGAAGUGACAGCUUGGUUUGAAGCACCCUCUAGUGGCAUGAAGAUUUCAGGUCUUAAAUCUGAAUAUCAGAUGGAAAGAUGAAUCUAAUGAGUCUCAACUAUCUCACAAGUCAAGGGACAGAAAAAGUAAAUGUAGCAAGAAGAGCAGCUAAAUAGAGGUUUCAAAGUACUGAGAUCCUUGCAGCAGACUCUUCC